UACGUAGGGUGCAAGCGUUGUCCGGAAUUAUUGGGCGUAAAGAGCUCGUAGGCGGUCUGUCGCGUCGGCUGUGAAAACCCGAGGCUCAACCUCGGGCCUGCAGUCGAUACGGGCAAACUAGAGUACUGCAGGGGAGACUGGAAUUCCUGGUGUAGCGGUGAAAUGCGCAGAUAUCAGGAGGAACACCGGUGGUGUAGACGGCUUUCUGGACCACUACUGACACUGAAGCGCGAAAGCGUGGGGAGCAAACAGG
rnacentral:rRNA from 1 species